AACACUCGCGGUAAUGGGGAGCUCGCUCGCAUCUCUCCCGGUAGCCCCACCUUGGGCUAGUUCUCAUCUUCAGAGCCUUCUCCGGGCCCGGAGCCCGGGGCAGCUCCUCUUCAGGCUGUUUAAAGACACAACAAAAUCAAACCCUCCUCAUAGCUCGCGCUUCCGCCUCCACUCGCACGCAAGACGCCUCAGAGCUAGGGCCGUCCCAGAGAGCGACCUUUCAGGCGGCGGCGGCCUCGCGUCAGGCCGCAGCAACAGCGAAAGCGGGGACUCUCGGCUCGUUAGCACCAACCGCGACGCUCGGGCGCCAUCUCGUGGCCACUCCUCAGACCUAGUAGCGGCAAACUGGAAACUACAUGUCCCAGCGUGUCUAGCGCAACUGCGCAGGCGCAAAGGACGUCCUCUCGUUUCCAUGGGAACCUCGACCCCCCGGAGAAGCCCGAUAGGUGUGCUGUGAGGGGUUAGAAUGUUGCUCCCUUAGAAGCUAGGAGCUAGGUGACCAGGUCUGCAGACCAUUACGGGAACAAAGUGGGGAACUGCCUCCCGGGACCAGCGCUGCCAAAUUCUGCUGGGUCUCCCGGCGUCCGCGCUCUCCCGGGGCCUCAGCGUCCCGAGGAACCCGACGAGACCAAUGUUUUGCUCUGGCAUGCAACGUGCGGCUCGUCUUGAGCCAGUCUCUAAAUCUUGUCGCCCUCAGCGGAGGGCCUGCGCGCCACCCACAGAUUUACCCAUACUCUUAGGAUCAAUGGUCACUUCUGUACAUGAGUCUCUCUGUCUCUGUAUGUCAUCUCCUGUUCUCUCAUCUGGACUUGAACUCUGUUUACAUCGCCUACCAAAAUUCCCAUCUGGAUAUCUAGCAUCAUCUCAGGUACCCAUGUGUGAAAUGGAGCCUGUCUCCUGGCCCAGCUCUAUUUUCUGCUCCCGGCAUUAAUGCUCUUUCAACCACCCAAACCCAGGCCCUGAGUCAGAUCUGGAGCCUCCUCCUGCUCUUCCAUUCCCAAAUACUAGUCUUUGCCAACUUCCUUCACAACAGUCUUUGUCCCUCACACUGUCCCUGUUAAUCCAAGGUUUUCGUAUGCCAUGACUCGGAUACUCAGUAGCUUCCUACUUGGUCUUUCUCUCUGCUGUACUACUCCCUGCUCCAAGACUCACUCCCCCCCCCCAUUUUGUUUGUUUGUUUUUUGAGACAGGGUCUCUCUAUGUAGCCCUGGCUAUCCUGUAGCUUGCUAUAUAGAUCAGGCCAGCCUCGAACUCAGAGAUCUGCCUACCUCUCUCUCCUGAAUGCUGGGACUAAAGGUGUGUGCCACCAUGCUGGGUGACAAUCUUUCUUUCAUUCUUUCAUACCAGGUCAGACAGACUUUUUAGGAUGGCUCUCUCGAUCUCGUCUCUUCUACCCAGAAACCUUCAGGUACCCUCAUUACCAUCGAUAAUGUCCAGCUCAAGAGCCCUCUCUUGGCCCGAGCCUGCCUCAUUGGCUUUAUCACACAGGACAAAGAGUCCAAGCUUGGAGCUGAACUCUGGGGUCAAGCCUCCUAUGCUGCGUUGCCCAGAGCAACUAUUUCACCUCUCUCUGCCUGAGCAUCCUCUUUAAAAUAACUGUGUAAGAAGUGUCACAGCUGUGUGUAAAGCGGCUGUCAGGAGAAAAUGUCCACAGAGCAGUGCUGAGCACGGAGCACAAGCACAUCUGCUGGUUUUUUUUUUAGUGUUGUUUUAUGUGUGUGUGCACAUGUACCACUUGUGUUCCUGGUGCCAGCAGAGACCGGAAGAGGGUGUCAGAGUCCCCGGAACUAGGAUUAUGAGUGGUUGUGAGUAGCCAUGUGGGUGCUAGGAACCAACGCCAGCUCUUCUGCAAAAACAAGUACUCUUAACCUGCUUAGCCAUCUCUCUAGUCCCCCAAGAUGCUAGCUUUUUUUUUUUUUUUUUGGUUUUUCGAGACAGGGUUUCUCUGUGUAGCUUUGCGCCUUUCCUGGAACUCACUUGGUAGCCCAGGCCGGCCUCGAACUCACAGAGAUCCGCCUGGCUCUGCCUCCCGAGUGCUGGGAUUAAAGGCGUGCGCCACCACCGCCCAGCAGAUGCUAGCUUUUGAUCGUAUUGCCACUCCCAGAGAGUGUGCUACACACACAUGCCUCUGCACACAUCGCUCCUCACCAUACGUGCCCCUGUUAGUUUGAUUUCUACUGCUGUGAUAAAAGCCAUGACCAAAAGUAACUAGAGGAGAAAAGGGUUCAUUUCAUCUUAUACUUCAGGAAAGUCCACCACUGAGGGAAGUCAGGGCAGGAACUCAAGCAAGGCAGGAACCUGGAGGCAGGAACUCAAGCAGAAGCCAUGGAGAAAUGCAGCUUACUGCCUUGAUCCUCCUGACUUGCUCAGUCCGUGUUCUCCGGACCACUCUCCCAGGGAUGGCAUCACCUACCUUGGGCUGAACUCUUCCACAUCAAUCAUAAAUCAAGAAAAUACCCCUACAGGAUUGCCACAGGCCAGUCUGAUGGGGACAUUUUCUCAGCUGAGAUUCCUUCUUCUCAGAUGAUUCUACUCUGUGUCAAGUGUUCUGGUGGAGGCUCCACCUCAGCCCCUGGCACCCUGGCGUCCAUAUACCCAAAGAAUCUGGAAUGUUCUAGUGGAAGAUCCACCUCAACUCCCCUCCCCCAUCUCUUUCCCCAAACCCAUCCCCUCAAAGCCUGCCAAACACAGCUCCUCCCCCAGAGAUGCUCAAGACCACUCCCAUAGGGUAUUUAAGCUGCAUCCCAGAAACUAGACAUGUAGUUUUCCGGUCUUUUGUCCCGUUUCCUCUCUGGGGGGCUAGAGAAUCACCCAGGAAUGCUCUACCCAUUAAACCAGGGCUUUUUCUAAUUCGGUCUGAUUUGGUCUGAUUUGGAUUGCUGCGUCAGCAGAGAGGGCUAUCGGGAUGCAAAAACCUUUCAUCUGGAGGUUCCACCGAGGGAGGUGGAUUUUCCCCCACCAGCCCAGGGCCACAUCGUGGGAAAACACCCCUCUCCCCCAUACCUGCUCUCUGCCAGACUAAGAUCGGCUCUCAGCUGGGUAAGUUGUCCUUUCCAAGUCCUUGCCUAGGAGGGCCUCUGAUUUUUGGGGAGUCCUGCCAAAGAUGCGGCCCCACCAGGCCCCUGACCUGUUCCAGAACAAAGGGCUGCCUUUGUUCUGUGGGACCCCUUCUCCAGAAGACUUCUGUUGAAGGGAAUUUCCCACCCCACCCCACCCCCAUUUUUUGACCCAAGGCCUACCACAGUGGAGGCAUUUUGCUAGGCUUUGGGUCCCCAGCAUAGACUUGUGAAAUGGGCACAUGCAAUUUGAAGCUGGAUCCCCAAACGCCCCUGGGCUGUCUUUUACAAAAUCUAUUCAAAUUGGGGCUAUCUAAUACCAUCUGUCCUGAACGCUUGAUUUCUCUGAGCACUAAGGCCUGGCCACAGUAUGCUCUCGAUUAUCAGUCAAGGUGGCCUCCUGAGAAAACUUUAGAAUUUUCCGUCCUUUGUGAUCUUGAAAAUUUUGUUGGCUUGGAGAUAAUUGGACAGAACUGCCCUAUGUCCAUGGUUUUUGAGUUCUGCAUUCCCACCCUCCCCGCAGAGGCCAAUGUCCCACAGCACUGGUCUUGUUGGCUAGGGUCAUGGUGCCUCUAGAUUCCCGCCUAUUUGGGAACUGGGAUCCUGAAAAUUCCACUCUGACCAUGCUGCCAGGGACACUGGCCCCUCCCCCACUUCUCCAAACUCUACCUACCCAACCCCCUCCCAUGGGGCCACAUGUUCCAUUCAUUGGCAGGAACCCUGGCCCCUCCUCCACUUCCCCAGAACUCUACCUACCCAACCCCCUCCUAUGGGGCCACAAAUUGAAGACCAAAUACCUCCUCUUUACCCUCCUUCCUGUCCUCCCCUCCCCACUGCUUCCCCCAUCUUCCAAUGCCUCAACCUACAUCUUGGUUCCCUUUUACACACUGGCCUAACACCCCCGAAUUUUCCCCGGUUUCUUCUCAUACUCGGUCUCUGCCUUCCCACCCAUAUCAUUUCUCAGUCAGCAUCAGAUAUUAUAAAGAAAUUUAAAAAGGCUGAGCAGGGUCCCCAAACUCCCCAUCAGGAAUUGAUGAAAUGUCUUUUAAAGUUUUUAAUGCUCGAGAAGAGAUAGCCGAGUCAACCCGACAGACAAGGCUGCAACAGAAGUCUAUGCUCCAAGCCCAAGCCUUAGCAGCUGCCCUGAGGCCACCAGGGCCCCCCUAAGGGGGACAAGGGAAGUUCACCACAAGGCUCCAUCCUGCCAGAGCUCAGCCCAAGUCAACUCUGCCAGAAACCUGCUUCAAAUGCAGCAAGCAGGGCCACUGGUCACAGUAUUGCCCUGACCCCCAGCUGCCCAGGAGCCAUGCUCUGACUGCCGACAGCCUGGGCAAUGGAAAUCGGAAUGCCCCCAUGUGGGCUCGUCCUCUAUGCCGUGCCAUGGACGUCCAGCCUCAACAACAUUGGCAACAGAGACUCUUCUGGCCUUUGAACUUCUAAGCCUGGCGGAAGACUGAGGCGGCCUAGACUUGGUGACUCCCAUUGCCCUCUUCAAGCCUAGGGUGACGCUGCAGGUCACCUUGAUGGCCUGCGCUCUUGGACACCGCACUCUCUCCCGGGUAUUUCACAGGUCCAGUCACAGGGGCCCUCCAGAUACGUCGGCCUCUGCACCAGCUGAGGCCACCAACCCGGCGAGGAUUGGCAGUGUCAUGGUGCUCCUAUCGGAAGCUCUGACCAUCUCCAGAGCUCCACAUUCCCUAUAGCUCACAGUCCUCCUCGGGAAAGGUUGAGAAGGCCAGUGGGCUCAUCAAACAACAGCUUACCAAGCUUUCCAUUGAACUCAAAAACAGGUGCCUGAGGUCUCCAGGAUGACAAUUAACCAAUGCUCCUUCACUCACACCUGCUGAAUGUGAGCCCAUGAACUCGCGACUCCCCACUUCCCCACGUCGCCCCAUGCCCAGAGGAAGGAGCCAGACUUGAACUGGUGUCUCUAUACCCAAAGAGUCUGGAAUGUUCUGGUGGAAACUCCACCUCAGGCCCUGGCACUCUCACAUCUAUAUACCCAAAGAGUCUGGAAUGUUUGGGUGGGAGCUCCACCUCAACCCCUGGCACCCUGGCAUCCAUAUACCCAAAGAAUCUGGAAUGUUCUAGUGGAAGAUCCACCUCAACUCCCCUCCCCCAUCUCUUUCUCCAAACCUGCCUCCUCAAAGCCCGCCAAACACAGCUCCUCCUCCAGAGAUGCUCAAGACCACUCCCACAGGGUAUAUAAGCUGCACCCCAAAAAACAGACAGGUGGUUUUCUGGUCUCUCAUCCCCGUUUCCUCUGGGGGGCGGGGGUGCUGGAGAAUCACCUGGGAACACUUUACCCAUUAAACCAGGGCUUUUUCUAA